ACAUUAUGGCCAAAAUUGUGGUUGUGGAUAGUUUUUUAAAACUUGAUUUGCCAAGUUGAUUGGAUUGCACAUUCUCCUUAUGUGGUUUUAUAUGUGAAAACAGUACAGUUUUUUAUGUGAACUUACACUUGGUGAUGUGUUUCACUUCUCAUUAAAUUGUGGAUAGAAGAGGCAAACGAGUUGUGUCAAAUCUAGAGAACAAUGAGGGCGAGUCACGUACUGCUUCAGAGAUGGCUGAUGUACUCUAUCAUUCCAUGGCUCUGUUGGCAAAGAAAGGUGUCAAAAUAGAAGAUGUUUUGCAGGUUCUUCGUCUGAGAUUUUCCCAAUCUGGUAUUGAGGAGAAGAAAAGUCGUGUAUUCCAGAAAUCAAUGGAUUGAAUGUUCAGUAAAGUCUAUAUCUCAACCAGUAUAUUUAGCUUUUGGCGACAUAGCCAGAUGCACCAUUCGCGUUCUUAUCGAUGUGACUAUGCAGAUUAGGGUAACAUUGUUAAAUAGUGUAGAGAAUGUCAAGAACACCAUGUAACUGUGAUCCUCCCAUUUUUGCAGAAUUCAGUUUUUCAUUUAGUUAAUUGUAUUGCUUGCAUCAUGCUUAUGUGUAGCAAACUGCAAGUCAUGCACUAAGCUCUUAACUUUUGUGUGUCUUAGUUAUUUUCUUAAGUGUCUUUUAAAGUUGAGUAGAAUUGAUUUUGAACCGUUAAAUGUAGUUAGAUAUGUGUUAAAUUUCAACCGUGGAUUUAUUAAAAUGUGUGUAUGGUGU